GACGAACGCUGGCGGCGUGCUUAACACAUGCAAGUCGUACGGUAAGGCCCUUUCGGGGGUACACGAGUGGCGAACGGGUGAGUAACACGUGAGUAACCUGCCCACAACUUUGGGAUAACGCUAGGAAACUGGGGCUAAUACUGGAUAUGUGCUCCUGCUGCAUGGUGGUGGUUGGAAAGCUCCGGCGGUUGUGGAUGGACUCGCGGCCUAUCAGCUUGUUGGUGGGGUAGUGGCCUACCAAGGCGGCGACGAGUAGCCGGCCUGAGAGGGUGACCGGCCACAUUGGGACGGAGAUACGACCCAGAAGCCUACGGGAGGAAGCAGUGGGGAAUAUUGCACAAUGGGCGCAAGCCUGAUGAAGCAACGCCGCGUGCGGGAUGACGGCCUUCGGGUUGUAAAACGCUUUCAGCAGGGACGAAGCUUUUUGUGACGGUACCUGCAGAAGAAGCACCGGCUAACUACGUG
rnacentral:rRNA from 1 species